rnacentral:rRNA from 1 species
CCUACGGGUGGCUGCAGUGGGGAAUAUUGGACAAUGGGCGAAAGCCUGAUCCAGCCAUGCCGCGUGUGUGAAGAAGGCCUUCGGGUUGUAAAGCACUUUCAGUGGGGAAGAAAGCCUUGGGGCUAAUACCCUCGAGGAAGGACAUCACCCACAGAAGAAGCACCGGCUAACUCCGUGCCAGCAGCCGCGGUAAUACGGAGGGUGCGAGCGUUAAUCGGAAUUACUGGGCGUAAAGCGCGCGUAGGCGGUCUGAUAAGCCGGUUGUGAAAGCCCCGGGCUCAACCUGGGAACGGCAUCCGGAACUGUCAGGCUAGAGUGCAGGAGAGGAAGGUAGAAUUCCCGGUGUAGCAGUGAAAUGCGUAGAGAUCGGGAGGAAUACCAGUGGCGAAGGCGGCCUUCUGGACUGACACUGACGCUGAGGUGCGAAAGCGUGGGUAGCAAACAGGAUUAGAUACCCUAGUAGUC